UGCAAGAUCCACAUAGGACUGCUGAGGAUCUUGCUUUCUCUGUUGCACGUUUUUUCCAAUAUGGUUGAACUUUCCAAAACUAUUAUAUGUACCAUGGAGGCACCAAUUUAGGUCGUGUAGCUGGAGGUCCUUGUGAAAACCAGAGAAUGGUUUCAGUUCUCUUCAUUCCUUUUCACGUGUUACAUAAAUAGCUAUUAAAGUAAUAGCUGUACAAUGGAAUAGUUUACAAAAAAGAAAUAAUAUUACAGCAGUCUUCAUGAUGA